rnacentral:lncRNA from 1 species
UAGGGGUUAAAAAAGAGAGUAGAACUUUACAAAUAGAGAAGAAAUAAAAUGUUGAAAUAUAUAUACAUCACUGAACAAUUAUAUGAAGGUCUAUAAUUAAGAUAUGCAUGCACGUACAAAAGGCACAAGCCGUACAUACAAAAUGAAUAAUUAACAGCAUGUUUUUACAUCGAUUCAGUAGUUUUUAGAAGCAAUAUAUAUUUCGUUCUCCAACCAAUUAAGAUACAUAUUGUUCAAGUUGUUUGGAAGACAAUUUUGUUUGGCAUACACUUGAGGACAUGGUGUUUUUACUCCUGCGCUCUUCUUACUAAUUAAACAUGUUUUAGUUAAAAAAUGGAGAAGAAACUCACGGGUUUGAGGAGUAGUCUCAGCUAGCUCACGAGCUGAGAUUUCAGAGGAGAGAAGGAGAACAGCAAAGACAAGGCCAAGAAGAAGUAAAGUCCCUGAGGAUGCCAUAAUUUUCCGAACAAUAUUAAUACCAAGGAAGCAUAGUAAUGGUUUCUGAAGGUUGUAUGUAAGAGAGGAUUGCUGUGUAGUAUAAUGUGGUUUGGCUCUCCCUAUUUAUAGACCUUUGUAAGAGAGUGGGAAGUGGGGGACGGUGGCCGGAAUGAGAUUGAGAGAAGAUUUUUUAUUAACUUUUACCUAAUCAGAAGAUAAGUAUGAUUAAAGGCUAAAGAGCUAAAACAUUAUAUAAUUAUCAUUUUGGACUUUAACAAGCGACUUUGGUUGUCCCCGAAUCUUCGAAAUUACUCACAGAUAGAAAGAUAUGAAAAUGAGAAUUUGGGUAUAUAUGGGGACGGAUGCGAGGAAACCGAAAUUUUCUAAUGCGGUUAUAUGAAAAUGAGAAGUUGGGUAUGUAUGGGGACGGAUGCGAGGAAACCGUAAUUGUCCCCAAUCCAGCUCACUCUAUAUUUUUUAGUACUAUAUGCCUGUUUUCGGAAGUCAAAGUUUUGUAUUUGACUGUAUUAUGGUUUGAUUCGUGAUUUGGUUGUAUUUUUUUUUUCAUGAUUAUAGCCUUUUAUGCUGCUUCCAUUAUAUGAUCAAAACCUUGUUUUUCCAUUAAUUAUGAAUUAUUGGUGAAAUCGUUAACCAUACUCAAUGUAUUUGUAAUUAUGAGGGCACAACCGAUGAUUAAUUUUGUGAUUAUAAUAUGAAUAAUAUUCACAAUUAUGUGAAUGAAUAUAAGUCCACGAUACACUUGUCUCCAAUCUGAGUUAUGAAGUAAAAUUUUAAAAAGACUUGUUCUUAAGUAUUUCGUUUGUGAAUCUAGAGUAUUCAUAUUUAUAAAAGAGCUUCGAUGAAAAGGGCUCACAAAACAAAAUUUUAAUCAAUUACACUCGAUCAAUUUUUUAAUUACAAUGACAAAAACAAGGGACCAAUGACACUAUCAUAAUUAUAUUGAAUUUGGGUGCAAUGAUGGUAUCGUAAUUCAGUUGAACUUUGAUUCAUAAAUUAUCCAAAACUGUUUCCUCAUAAAUUACCCACAAUUGUAUCUUCAUAAAUUACCAGCAACUAUUUCUUCAUCAAUUACCAGCAUUUUCUCAAACCUAAACAAAUUCUAUUAUAUGCUUUAAAAAAUAUUAAAAAGUGAGUCUCAUAAAAAUGUACGUAAAAAAUGUGUGUUUUUAAAUCCUAACUCUUUAAAGAGUUCUACUUUUUUCGAUUGCCCCACGUAGAAGCUACUUUGUAAUUAAAAGAUUAUUGAAGGUAAGUGAGGAAAUAGUUGCAUGAACCAAAUUUCAACUUAUAAUCAUGACUUUCAAUGAAGCCAAAUUCAAUAUUGACGGUAUGUGUUUUUGAUGACCAAGGCUUAUGGCGUUAGGAUAAAGUUGGUUUGGAGGAAAUAGUAGUGAGCUACUUUGAAAAAUUGUUUUGACUCCGAGGGUUCAUCAAAUGGAGAGGAAAUUCUAUAGUAUGUUCAACCAAGGGUUACCGAGAGUAUGAAUGAGGACCUUACGAAACCGUUUGAGGAUGAAGAGAUAAAAUUUGCUCUUUUUCAGAUGCAUUCAACUAAGGCUCUAGGACCAGAUGGAAUGUCUCCGGGUUUUUACCAAAAACAUUGGGAUAUUGUUGGCAAUGAUGUAUGCAACGGCGUUCGGGCUCUUCUCUCAUCGGGAAGAAUGUUGAAAAAGAUCAAUUACACUAAUGUUACUCUUAUUCUGAAGAAUAAAGAUCCGAUAGUGAUGACACAAUUACAUCCGAUUAGUUUAUGCAAUGUCAUUUAUAAAAUUUGCUCCAAAGUGUUAACCAAUAGAUUCAAAAGGGUGCUUCCAGAGAUUAUUUCUACUAAUCAGAGUGCUUUUGUGCCGGGGAGAUUGAUUUCAGAUAAUAGCUUGGUAGCUUCGGAAAUUGCUUAUUAUAUGCAUAAGAAGUCUUCUGGAUGGGAUGGAGUGAUGGCAUUGAAACUGGAUAUUAGUAAGGUGUAUGACCGUAUUGAAUUGAGUUUCCUCAAACAAAUGAUGAAAAAGUUGGGCUUUGCGGAUAGGUGGAUUAAUUUGAUGAUGGCGUGUGUGACUACCGUUUCAUACUCGUUUAAGGUAAAUGGCAAGCUGGUGGGUUAUGUUCACCUGAAGCGGGGGAUUCGACAAGGUGACCCUCUUUCUCCGUUUCUAUUUGUGUUAUGUGCGGAAGGUCUUUUAACUCUUUUUUAUGCUUGGAAGAAACAGGGACGGAUUAGAGGGGUCAAAGUGUGUAAGGGCGUUCCGACUGUGAAUCAUCUUUUUGUUUGCGGAUGACAGCUUCAUUUUCACCAGGGGCACGAUUCAGGAAUGCCUACAGGUGAAACAUUUGUUGAAAACAUAUGAAUAUGUAUCAAGACAAGCUAUUAAUUAUGCGAAGAGUUGUGUAGCUUUCAGUGGAAACUUGUCUAAGUAUGAUGGAUAGUUGUUGGUGGAUUGUUUGGGUAUGCCGCGGGUAAUUUUCCAUGAUCGAUAUCUUGGCCUACCGGUUCUGGUGGGAAAAUCGAAGAAGGAUACGUUCGCAUACAUUAAAGAUUGAUUGUGGAAAAAAUUAAAUGGUUGGAAAGUAAGUCUUCUGAGUAGUGCUUGGAAAAAGAUAUUGAUAAAAACCGUAGCCCAAGUUGUACCCCUAUACACUAUGCAAACUUUCUUGCUACCAAAAACUUUCUACAAUGAGUUGAAUCAAAUGGUGGCACAAUUUUGGUGGGGAAAGGAACAAGGGAAGCGAAGGAUAUAUUGGAUUCGGUGGAAAAAGUUAUGUAAACCAAAGGGAGAGGGUGGUCUUGGCUUUAAGGAUAUCUAUGCCUUUAAUCUAGCUUUGUUGGCAAAGCAAGGGUGGCGGUUGAUACAAGAAUAAUCCUUUCUAGCAUCCCAAAUUUUUGAAGCCAAAUAUUAUACACAAACUGAUUUUCUUUCGACACUGAUGAAGAAAAAUUCAUCUUAUGGUUGGAGAAGUAUAGCUGAGGCCCGCAAAGUAAUUAGGGUUGGAGCUCGGUGGAGAGUGGGGGAUGGUGCUUCUAUUAAAAUUUGGGGUGAUAGUUGGUUGCCAAGGGAAACUUUUUUCAAAGUUCUUAGCCCUAUACCUAUGGGAAUGGAUCAGUCCAUUACUGUAGAGAAGUUGAUCUCGGUGGAGAGAGGGAUUGCAUGGAACAUGGAAGUCGUAAAUAGCAUUUUUUUGGCUGAGGAAGCUCGAUUGAUUCGGUCCAUACCACUUAGUAUCUCUCUGACAUUGGAUGUUUUAAUCUGGUCCGCGAAGUCAAAUGGGAAGUUUACAACGAAAAGUGCCUAGAUUGGCAGAGAAGUCAAUGGACAAGAAAGCAGUGGUUCUUCGAUUACACACGAGAUGAAAUUUUUGUGGAAGGCUUUGUGGAGAGCUCGAGUACCUGAGAAAGUAAAGUUUUGUGUGUGGCGAUGUUGUAUGAAUGCAUUACCAACAUGGGAUAAUGUGAAAAUAAAGAAAAUCACUACGGAUGCUGCUUAUAUGUUCUGUAAUGGCGAAGAAAAAACCUUGGUGCAUUUGAUGAGGAAUUGUCCUAGAACGGCUUUGAUUUGGUUAAUAAGCCCGUUGGGUCUACGGAGUAGAACAGACACUAGGGGACAUUUGGUGGUUGGUUCACAAGACUGGCUAGUGAUUUAUCAAGUGAAAGCUUUGAUUUGUUACUUGUGAUUAUUUGGAGCAUUUGGAAGGAACGAAACUCGUUUUUAUGGCAGGGAAAGGCACUUCAACCGUUGGAGUUGGUUUCUAGAGCACAAAGUUGGUUACAGGAAUUCCAGUGAUGGCAUGGGUAAGAAUCAAACAAGCAGCAGCAACAAACCAAAGAAAUGGAAGAAACUGGAAUUGGGCUGGGUAAAAUGUAACUUUGAUGCGGCCUAGGAUGAACAACAUGAGGUUGGUGGUGUUGGGGUGGUGAUUCGAAAUGACAAGGGGGAGUUUAUAGCAGCAAAGGUGACACAACACACUGCCAUUUGUUCCCCGCAGCUGGCUGAGAUGAUGGCUGCAAGGGAUGCGGCUUUGUUUGUCAAGGAGUGGCAAUUUCCAGCUUUGGUUGUUGAAGGUGAUGCUUUGUUGGUGAUGGCAAGACUAAAAAAAUGUAGGAAGUGAUGACACCUCACAUUUUGGAAACAUUCUAAAUGACACGCGGUCAAUUGUUCAUUCAUUGCCAAAGUGGAAGGUUGAAUUUAGUGGAAGGGACACGAAUAAGGUGGCACAUAGGCUAGCACGUAUGAGUUUGAGUUAUGGUAACAUUAUGACUUGGUUUGAAGAACCUCCUGAUAUAAUUUUUUAUCUUCUCUUUGAGGAUAGUAAUUCCUAAUUAAUUAUGAUGGUGCGGGACACUUUUGUCCCUUCGACCGGGUUGAAAACCUUCGACCGGGUUGACACUUUUGUCCCUUCAAUGAUGUAAGUAUCCAUUUCUUAUUAAUGAAUAUCAUACUUUUUCAAAAAAAAAAAAUGGAAUACGCUACUCCUUGUGCAGAAAUUCUAGAGUAUGAAGACCGGGUCACAUGUUUCUUAGGGCCCACACACAUAAUACAACUUAUAGCCACCCCGUUACUUUAAGUAGUGUUAUAGGGAUGGGCAACGGUUAUGGUGAGCGAGUAACCGCGGUUAUUUACCCAUAACCGUUUAUAUUCAUACUCACAUAACCGUUUACCAGUUGGGUAAUUGCAUAAAUGGUUAUACCUAUACCCAUAAUCGUUUAUAAAUGGUUAACCAUACCCAUAACUGUGUACUCAUUUAACCAUAACCGUUUACCCAUUUAACAAUAACCAUUUACCCGUUUACCCAUUUUUGAACCCAUUUAUCCUUUUUUUUACCCAUUUACCCCUUUUUUCACCGGUCUGCAUGUUUUUUUAAUAACUUGAAAAUUAAAAAAGAACAAUUUGUCAUAAUUUUUGUUUUUUAACAAUUAAACACCGUUAUAAGUACAUUUUAGCAUGCAUUUCCCUAUUUUAAUAAUUUAAGUCCUCAUAUAAUUCCAAUAAUUGAAAUAAUAGUUUACAAAACUAAAUGAUUCAAAGCUUAUAAAUAUUAUGAAACUAAACACUUUCAAACACUAAUGUUUUCAGAAGAGGUUAAUUAAUUAUGUGGCUUUGUGCUUAGGUGUAAUGUGUCCCUUAAUUUACGUGACUUUAUGGAGCAACUGCAUCAGAAGUAUGUAUACUGAUACAUGGGAUCUGCUUGCACAACGUGGUCACAUCAUGGGUACAUAAUCUUCUUGCUGUGAUUUUGUUACCGGGCAAACUUUAUGCUGUAAUUUAAAAAUAUUUGAAUCGAGUGAGUGUUCACACUCAAAAGUAUUCAUCCUCUAUUAAAUUAAAUGGAGGGAGAGAUGAGCAGGGAUAGAGCGUUUGAGACUUUAAAUCUGGGGGACAGAUUGAAAAUUUAAGGUUUUUAAUUUUUAAUUUUUUUAAUUUUAAAUAUAUUAAAUUAAGGUUUUUUAUGUCCGUUGAUCUUCUUCAAUUCAUCCGAUCCGACGGCUGAAAAUUAAAAACGUGUGUGAAGUAAAAUAGGGUGUGUGGAUAUCACACCCCUAAAUUAAAUGGGUAAAUAGAUACUCAUUAUAACCGCAGGUAAUACCCAUAAUCGAUGGAUACCCAUUAUAACCACAGGUACUACCCAUAACUGCCCAUUUAAAUUUCACGGAUAAACGAUUAUACCCAUAACCGUUUGUUCGUCUAAACGGUUACCCAUAACCGUAACCCUAAACUUUAAAUGGAUGAGUAACCACAAUUACCCAAACUCAUGGUUAUUUUGCCCAUCCUUAAGUACCACCUCGUGUUCCGGUUACACUGAAAAAUUUCUCUAAUUUUGGUUUAAAAAUGUGGUCUCCCUAACAUUAUCCUAAUGAAUAUACUGAUAUUCGUAAGCCCCUUAUUUUUAGGUCAUUUGAAAUUACACAUAGAUUAGGCAAGCCUCAAUGCUGCAAAAAUAAGAAAUGCAGAAAUAUAAAGCUAAGCCCUUAGAACAUUUCCAACCCUUGGGUUAAAAUCUUAAAUUUUAAACUCAAAAAUUUAAAUUUUAAGUCAGAAAGAGCUUUUCUUCUCGGAUCCAUCUGGGUUAAAAUUUUAGCCUAAAAUUAUUAAAUAAUGAGUUUAGGCUAAAUUUGUGACAACCCGUCCCUAAUUUCACGAUUUUAUAAAUUUUAAAAGAGUGAUUUUACGAAAAUGCCCUUACAGUCGAGGAUGUUUGACUUUCGUUGGCCGUCUUUCAUGACGUGUACAAGUUACUCUUUUUGUGAAUUCUCAAGGUACUCAACGAUAUGAACGCGUGAGUGCAAAUGGAACACAAUUUGGGAUUAUAAUGACUGAAGUCGAGGACAAAAUUGUCAAUUGAUUAUUUUCUGGAAGGCUCCAGAUUUUUGGACCAAAGAAUUGUUAUGACACGUGUGUGGCUGAGUUGGAAAAGAAAUGAGAGUUAAGGAGGGUGCAGACCAAUCAACAGAAUGAGGUGAGGAGAUGACCAAUGGGAGCUGAGAGAAAAGAGAGAAAGAAGGAGAGUGAGGCCCAAUCAGAAAAGAAAAGAGAGAGAGAGUGACAACUAGAGAGGGAAGAAGGGAGGGAAAAGAGAGGAACCUAAUCCUUUCCCUUUGACCCGUGACCCGUUUCAAACCCGGUACCCUACGUGAGAUUCCGCUAUUUCCUCCUACGAUUUUGUGACAAAUUUCACCAAGCCACCACUUAGAAACUUCUCACCGGCUGUUCUUCUUCAAUUUUCCACUACAAUUCAAUGGGAUUUGGCCCCGUUUCAUGGUGUACAGCGACAGCAACCCCGUGAGUCCCUAAGCAGCGAUCCGCCAUUUUUGAAUGUUAUCUCAUUGAUCUCCACCAUCAUUAGACUUUUCUUGAGGCCUGGAACAAAGCCCAAACAAUUGUAGCGGCGGUGGAGCACCGGAGGUGACGGAUCGAAGCCACCCAUUUUUAGGAUUUCCAGCGAGUUCGAGUGAAAUUGGGGAUUUUGCCGACCAAAUUGGAUUUGGCCACUGGUAUAAAACUUGAUUUACUCAUUGAGAUCUUCAUUUUUGUGAAAUUUGGUAAUUUUUGGAAAUAAUUGAUUUUUUCGACGAGUCAGGACGGUAGGCCGCCGCAUGUGACGGCAAGUGGGUCGAGACCCCACCAGACCAUUGUAGGAUAAUUUAAUGCCCCGGUUCCAUAAUUGACAUCCGUAUAGUGAAAUCCUGAUGUUUUAAUAUAGUUUCGUAGUGGACCGCAUAGUUGGCCGCCAUUUGAUUAUUUUAUGAAUGGACGAUCCGACCGUUGGAUCGGUGCCAAACUUUAAUAAGUGAUAGUACAUAAUAUUUGUGGACAUUAGAAACUUACAGAUCGGAAAUCCAACGUACAGAUCUUCCCGAAUUGAAUUUCUAAAGUUUGUAAAAUCCAACGUUGAACGCCACUUGAAUUUGCGAUUGGUGGAGAUCCAAUUGUUGGAUCGUAAAGAAGUUUUAAUAUGUUGUUCUAGAAGCAUAGUGUGGACUUUGGGAAGUUACGGAUCGGAAAUCCAUGGGCGGAUGUUCCAGAUUGACUUGUGUAGGGUUGUGGACCUCACCUUUGAUAGAGACUUGACUUUUGGACAAUCUGCUACGAAUUGAUCUUAAAUAUUAAAAUCCGUAUUAAUAGAGACUAGGUAGGGCUUAGUGGGCCUAUAUUGAUUAGUGAGUUAUCCUAGAUAAUAUAUACAUUGGUUGACUUUUAGGUUUAACCGUUGACUUUUUGUAAAAUUUGACGGGGACCCUCCUUAGCGUAUUUCAAUGCGUUGAUUCCGAAUCCGCGGUCCAUUUUUUGAAAUUUGAUCGUUGUAAUUUCAUUAGCACAUUAUAUUUACCUAAAUGGUUUCAUUUCUAGGCGAAAUGCAUUACAAGGACUCUCGAUGCUACGAGGUGGGUUCGACUCGACGACAUGAUAUGUGAAUGGGUCUUCUCUUUAUAAAUAUAAUGUUUAUAAGAAAUACCUUAUUGUUGGGAAAUGAUGAAAUAAUCCUACAGGAUGCAUAGGUAAGCUUACUAUAAGGAGAUGCCUUGAUUAUAUUUAUGGUCAUGAAUAGUACGAUAUUGAUUAGAAUUGUUGAAUAGUUGUGGCAUGACUAAAUUGAUGUUAUCUGCUCAUCAUUUACUGCACUGGUGUUGGUACUCGCCCGGGCCAAGGCCAGUCUUUCACGUGUAUGUGUACAUCGCACCGUACGCUCAGUUUGGAUCCAUUGUAGGUGCCAGUCCUGUCGUAGUUGCCAUGGGCAACUCCGACUUGUAUGUGUUGCGCAUAGCGCCAGUCUUCACGUGAUUGUAGUACUACAACGUAUAUUAUUAUCACACCCAGUCCUGUUCAUUUCAGAAUACCUCUGCAUGAACUCAUGUGUCAACAUUUGUCGAUGAGCACCCGAUAUGAUAUGUUGCUUAUGUGAGAUUUUGUGAUUAUGGAUGUCAUGCCCUUAUUCGAGAUAUUGUGCCAUAAUGAAUUCUUGAGAUUUUGCAGGCGACGGCAAGUAUUUUCUUACUAUACGUAGUGCGUAUAUUUUGGAAACUAAAUUGGUUUUAUAGCGAGGGGUUAUUAUGCUUUCGAAAAGGAUUUUUUACAAAGAUUUGUUUCUAGGCCCACUCACCCUUGUUUUUCGCCUACCCAGGUUUUAUUGCCGAGCUUACAUGUCGAUGAAGAUUCUUGGCAAAUCUUGGUGUAGACGAUUACCUUCGAUGGUAUAAUUCUCACCCUAUCUUAUUGUACUGUACUUAUGCUCUAACAUCAUGUGUGAAAUGAGUUCAUUCCCGCUCACCGCGCACUCUAUUACUUAGGCACUUUUAAGUUUAAGUUUAUACACAUUUUUCAUAUCACUACACUUUAUGGCUUCGCUCACCGUGGUCAUGUCCAUGCUCAUGGCCCUGAACUUGGUCGCCAGCCUUUUCUACGCUGUCCUCUAGGGGUAAAAAAAGAGAGAAGAACUUUACAAAUAGAGAAGAAAUAAAAUGUUGAAAUAUAUAUACAUCACUUAACAACUAUAUGAAGGUCUAAAAUUAAGAUCUGCAUGCACGUACAAAAGCCACAAGCUGUACAUACAAAAUGAAUAAUUAACAGCAUGUUUUUACAUCGAUUCAGAAGUUCUUAGAAGCAAUAUAUAUUUCGUUGUCCAACCAAUUAAGAUAUAUUGUUCAAGUUGCUUCGAAGACAAUUUUGUUUGGCAUACACUUGAGGACAUGAUGUUUUUUACUCCUUCGCUCUACGUACUAAUUAAACAUGUUUUAGUUAAAAAAAAUGGAGAAGAAACUCACGGGUUUGAGGAGUAGUCUCAGCUAGCUCACGAGCUGAGAUUUCAGAGGAGAGAAGUAGAACAGCAAAGACUAGGCCAAGAAGAAGAAAAGUCCUUGAGGAUGCCAUAAUUUUCCGAACAAUAUUAAUA